rnacentral:rRNA from 1 species
CUGGAUUUGCGCAUGGGGGCAACCCUGAUGCAGCCACGCCGCGUGGGUGAUGAAGGCCUUUGGGUUGUAAACCCCUUUCGACCGGGACGAUUGUGGCCGUUCCCGGUGAAGAAGCCCCCGCUAACUUCCUGCCCGCAGCCGCGGUAAUAACACGU